rnacentral:rRNA from 1 species
AUUGAACGCUGGCGGCAUGCUUUACACAUGCAAGUCGAACGGUAACAGGGAGCUUGCUCCGCUGACGAGUGGCGAACGGGUGAGUAAUGCGUCGGAACGUGCCGAAUAGUGGGGGAUAACGCAUCGAAAGGUGUGCUAAUACCGCAUACGAACUGAGGGUGAAAGUGGGGGACCUUCGGGCCUCACGCUAUUCGAGCGGCCGACGUCUGAUUAGCUAGUUGGUGAGGUAAAGGCUCACCAAGGCGACGAUCAGUAGCGGGUCUGAGAGGAUGAUCCGCCACACUGGGACUGAGACACGGCCCAGACUCCUACGGGAGGCAGCAGUGGGGAAUUUUGGACAAUGGGCGCAAGCCUGAUCCAGCUAUGCCGCGUGUCUGAAGAAGGCCUUCGGGUUGUAAAGGACUUUUGUCCGGGAGCAAAUGCUGGUGGCUAACAUCCACCGGAGCUGAGAGUACCGGAAGAAUAAGCACCGGCUAACUACGUGCCAGCAGCCGCGGUAAAAC